AUUGAACGCUGGCGGCAGGCCUAACACAUGCAAGUCGAGCGGCAGCGGGAAAGUAGCUUGCUACUUUUGCCGGCGAGCGGCGGACGGGUGAGUAAUGCCUGGGGAUCUGCCCAGUCGAGGGGGAUAACUACUGGAAACGGUAGCUAAUACCGCAUACGCCCUACGGGGGAAAGCAGGGGACCUUCGGGCCUUGCGCGAUUGGAUGAACCCAGGUGGGAUUAGCUAGUUGGUGAGGUAAUGGCUCACCAAGGCGACGAUCCCUAGCUGGUCUGAGAGGAUGGUCAGCCACACUGGAACUGAGACACGGUCCAGACUCCUACGGGGGGCAGCAGUGGUGAAGAUUGCACAAUGGGGGAAACCCUGAUGCAGCCAUGCCGCGUGUGUGAAGAAGGCCUUCGGGUUGUAAAGCACUUUAAGUGGGGAGGAAUGGCUCUUGGCUAAUAACCUUGAGCAGUGACGUUACCCACAGAAUAAGCACCGGCUAACUCUGUGCCAGCCGCCGCGGUAAGAC
rnacentral:rRNA from 1 species